UACAGAGGGUGCGAGCGUUAAUCGGAAUUAUUGGGCGUAAAGGGCGCGUAGGUGGACGGAUGAGUCCUGUGUGAAAUCCCUGGGCUUAACCUAGGAAUGGCAUGGGAAACUGUUUGUCUAGAGUGAAGUAGAGGGUAGCGGAAUUUCCGGUGUAGCGGUGAAAUGCGUAGAUAUCGGAAGGAACACCAGUGGCGAAGGCGGCUACCUGGACUUUAACUGACACUGAGGCGCGAAAGCGUGGGGAGCGAACAGG
rnacentral:rRNA from 1 species